rnacentral:rRNA from 1 species
UUGAAACCGAUUCAAGGGGUAAACCUGAGAAACCCGAAAGGUCGAAAGGGGAAAUUCAUUCGCGUUUCGGACUCGUCGGCGUCGAACGUGUCGCGUGACGAACGACGUGCUUGCACGACGUUCGCGCCUUCCGUUCUUCGAACCGGCAUCGAACGCGUGCACUUUUCCCCUAGUAGGACGUCGCGAUUCGUUGGGUGUCGGCCUAAGGGCCGCGGUGGAGUCCGCGCGGACGUUUCGGCGUAUCGUGCGGACCCGCGAACCCUGGCCGACUCGCUCGACGGUAUACAGAUGGCGCGGGGCCGCUACGGUCGUCGCACGGCGACUUCGGUCGUUUGUGCGACGUUCUCGAUUAGCGUUCGGCCCGCGGCAAGCGCGUUCGGCGUACGACGGCGAUCGGACCUCGUGCCGGUCCUGUCCCCGAAUGGCUGUUGGCCGCGGUGGUAANGUGGUGGUGGUGAUGGUGGUUUUUUUUCUCCAUCAACAUCAUCUCUCGAACAGACCUCGUCGUCGCGCGUAAGCGCGUAACGCCGAUCUGCGACGCUAUAGCUUUGGGUACUUUCAGGACCCGUCUUGAA